rnacentral:misc_RNA from 1 species
GUUUCAAGAGAAAGUUUGUGAAACGCCUUCCUUUAUGCUUUCAAGAGUUGGAUUUUAAGCUUUGUAUCAGCAUCUUGGAUCCAAAGAUCAACUUCUCUGAAAUUGAGACGUCAUUAUGUUCAGAAAAAGAAGCGUCUACUUUGGUGAAAUUGAUUUGCUCUCCUAAUGAAUUGAAAUUACUGGAGUCUUACGCUAACAACCGUAAAGAUUAUGGGAAGGUCAAGCAUCUUGUGCCACUCUUUGCCUAUUACUACUUUGAAGAGAAGCUUCCAAUUACACUGUCCCAUCUCGAAGCGUCUCUUUUGUUGUGCAUGGGCUUGCAGCUUCACAGUAUAACUUACAUCGAGGAAAAAAUGAAGAUAGAAAGGCAACAAGUCCUGCAUUUGUUUCGUAGGGUUAUGGUGAAAUUUUACAAGUAUUUUUAUGAUGUUCUAACCAAAGAGUUGGAUAUACCUCAAGAAACAAUGGUUGCAUUGGAGCCGCAUAGUGUGUCACUUGAUGAGGAUUUAAAUGAUGGUGCUCAGCAAGUGAUGGAGAAGAUGAGAACGGAAAAUGCGGAUCUGCUGAAACCAGAGUCGCUGCAGCAAUACUCUGUUGAGGAUAGAGAAGGUGAACUUGAGCAAGCUCUUAAAAAAUGUAAUAAGAUAUC